rnacentral:rRNA from 1 species
UCGAACGCGAAAGGCCCCUUCGGGGGCCGAGUAGAGUGGCGCACGGGUGAGUAACACGUGGAUAAUUUGCCUUCGGGUGGGGAAUAACAACCGGAAACGGUUGCUAAUACCGCAUAAUGCAGCGGCAUCUAUGAUGACAGUUGUUAAAGCGGGGGAUCGCAAGACCUCGCGCCUAAAGAGAAGCCUGCGGCAGAUUAGCUAGUUGGUAGGGUAAUGGCCUACCAAGGCGACGAUCUGUAACCGGCCUGAGAGGGCGGUCGGUCACACUGACACUGACAUACGGGUCAGACUCCUACGGGAGGCAGCAGUCGGGAAUUUUGGGCAAUGGGCGAAAGCCUGACCCAGCAACGCCGCGUGAAGGAUGAAAUUUUUCGGAAUGUAAACUUCGCAAGAACGGGAAGAAUAAGUAGAAGAUAAUACCUUCUAUGAUGACGGUACCGUUUGUAAGCUCCGGCUAACUCCGUGCCAGCAGCCGCGGUAAUACGGGGGGAGCAAGCGUUGUUCGGAUUUACUGGGCGUAAAGGGCGCGUAGGCGGUCGUGACAAGUCACUUGUGAAAUCUCCGGGCUUAACUCGGAACGGUCAAGUGAUACUGUCGGACUAGAGUACAGAAGGGGCAACUGGAAUUCUCGGUGUAGCGGUGAAAUGCGUAGAUAUCGAGAGGAACACCUGCGGCGAAGGCGGGUUGCUGGGCUGAUACUGACGCUGAGGCGCGAAAGCCAGGGGAGCGAACGGGAUUAGAUACCCCGGUAGUCCUGGCCUUAAACGAUGAAUGCUUGGUGUCUCGGGGUAUAAAGUCCCCGGG